GCCCUCGUAGCUCAGCGGAUAGAGCAGGAGCCUUCUAAUCUCUUGGUCGUAGGUUCGAUUCCUACCGGGGGCG
rnacentral:tRNA from 1 species